UCGUAUUAUACGCGUGUAUCGUCUCUUGCCAAGUCACGUGCCGACUACUAUACCUUUAGUAGUACAAUGUCAUUUGUUUUCAUUGCCCUUUUACCAGUACAUGUUAGUGUUUACAUAUUUGUGUUUACACGGAAGUUCGAUGUUGUUAAUAACGUGGUUAAGGGUGGGUCGCUGUACGCCGGCUGUGGGUCCGGAGCGCCGGGGUAGGCGGGGAAGGUACCCGGGCUGCCAGCGCCUUCCACUUCGUAUGCGGGAGCGAAGGCCGCGUCAGCGCCCAUACGGAAGCGUUGGAAUGCGAAGAACGCACACGCUACCUGUUUAUAUUAUAUAGACAUUUCGUAUACAUUACACAAAUAUUUAGUUAUAUUCUAUGACUCUUUGGUUGGCAACAUUGAACUCACCCAAGCAAAAAUCGAGAAGAAACAGAACGCGAUGGCUCCCUGCAUGUUGUUGGCUGUACCCAUCGGCGGGUUCUCGGUCUUACCCCAGGCGUUGGACAAAUAACAGAAGCCCACGAAAUAUAAAAACGCCCAGAACGCUGCGAAACGAGACAAAACAGAAUACAUCUAAUUAUAUCACAUAAAAAAAACGGUUACAUAAGUAUUCAUCUAAUACGUUACUUGACACGUAAAUUAUUCUGCUUGUUUAAUUAUAAUAGCUUUACUAUAGGGCCAAGAAACUAUCGAUAUAAUGUUUCGAAAAUUUAUAGAAGCAAUUAUAAUAUCAAUUUCCACCUACAAUAUCUGGCAACUUCGGCUAUUAAGAUAUAAACAUUUGUAAGGACCAAUAAAAGCAAAAUUACAAUAUUGAGAAUGGCAACACCGGGACUUUUCAGACGGUCGUUACUUUUAACGCGUCUCAGUUUAACGACAGACACUUGCGUUAUAACGUAGGACUAUAAAUAUUUUACUUUCAUGUAUCGUUUGUAUAAUAAGUGUCAUUUAAAUUGUAUUGAUCUCGGAGCUUUCUUUCUGUAGCCUCAACAGUGACAAAGUAUGUUUUAAAAUGGAACAAAAUCUACUUUAAUUUUACACUUAGUCAGAUGUUUUCUCUGAACUGAUAACUAAAAGUAAAAUGUUCUUUUUAAUAACACAUUCUGUGUUCGCACAGUUUUACUGUGACUUUUAAACAAUGAAAGCUUUAGUUUGAUGGGAAUGUUAUAUUUUCAACAAACGAAUGCACAUCUACAACUUCAAGAGGAUGUUUGAAAUCGGUCAGGGCCGGCGUGAGACAUUGAAUUUUCAAAUGAUAUUUCUACCGAUGUAUUCCUUAACAUUCCAUGUUUCCAAUUUCGAUAUUUUGUACAAAAAAUACAUUAGAAUGUCGUUCAAAUCUAAAUUUCUUCUUCAUAUAAAGAGGACAAAUACAACAAAAAAAGAACACUUAAGGUUUAUUAUCGACUUUAUUACUACGACAAAGGUCAACUGAAUGCCGCCUCUCCCUAAAAUGGUGAUCGUGAAUAAAAUGCUAGUUUAAUACAUUUACUUUUUCUAGUAUAAAAUAUUAAACUUAAUAAUUUAAAGGUAAUUUUUAUUAUUAUAUUUAUCGAUACGAAUCAGUAUUGCCAUAACAGAAAAACAACGAUAGAAAUUUCAUCGAUAUCGCAAAAAAUGUGUGCAGUAUUCUUAAGUUCAAUUCUCAUAAGGUAUCCUAAGCUGUACAAAUGUAAACCUUUGAUCGAUAAAGUAGAUUGCAUAGGAAGAAAGAUGUGUACAUUUGAUGCAAAAUAUAUAUGAACUGGGUCAAUCGUAGGUUAGCAUCAGAGCGAGCCAGUGUCCAAAGAUAAUAUACGAUUUCAAAGGGAAAUAGGUUACCUAGCCUAAAAUAUAAAAAAAUGACUUCACCGAAUCUCUCAAUAAACUUGAUCGUGUUGAAAAGGUUACGCUAUCCAAAUAUAUUUCUUGAAUAUGUAGUUCGGAAUCGAAAAAUGAGUGAAAAAGUGUUUUAAAGUAAACACAAAUGUAAUUCUGUUUCGCAGUUAUACAGCUUCACUGCGCCAAUUGGUAUUAAACCCAGCAAAUAUUUAUUUAAACAUUCGUUCAUUAGUGUUUUGCUAAUGUCUCGCUUCUACCAUUACAAAAAUUAUUAUAACUGUCGUCUUUCUCGAUACAAAUAUACAUGUGUGUCAUGAACGAAAAAAUCGAAUCUUUGAUAAACAAAUUUUUACAUUGCACUGGUUUUCAACAAUACGUGAUUAAAAAAUGACUAUUCAAAGUCCAAUAGGAAAUGACGAAAGCAGUAAAUAUAAUAUCCUAUUGAAUUUCCUUUAUAGAAAACAAAACUAAUACAAAAAAUUAUUCAAUAUUCAUAAAAAGCAAUGGAUCCCAUUAAAUUAAUUCCAGGUGUCAAGUAGUAUGACCUGGCUUAAUUGGAAUUUUAUUAAAUUCUUCACACUAAAUACCUACUGAGAUUUUAUUACAGCAUUGUUUGAUUAACUCAUAUUAAAACAGAACGGUACAUAUUUAAAGAUAAACUUUAUUAGCUAUGAGAAAUGUUUAAAAUGUUACAUACACAAAACUUACCAGAAAAUCCCAUAUCAGCAAGAACAUAAUGUUUUCUUGUCUUCACGGAGGACAUUUGUUCAAACAAGUAUUCUCCCACAAUGAAAGCUAUAGAUGCAACAAAUGCUAUGACUGAGAUUCCGACUCCAUAAUUGCAAGCAUUUGUAUCAUCGUUGUAGACACAGUACUCUUUGCUGUCUGUUUUGCUGAUGUACCAGCCCUUGGCAGAUAUACAGCCCAUUACAAUCACACUGAACAGCUGGGAAGAAUUACUUAAUAUUAGUUUUAGUGUGGGGGUCGAUGGCUAUAAAUAAGGGAUUGAAUCAAAUAUGUUCCUUAUACAGAGUUGUAUAUUAUUUGAAAAAUUUGUAUUAAAAGAGGAUCCUGCCAAUAUUUGACACAUUCAAAUAUAUUUUGGAAAUGUAAUUAUAAUGCCUUAUUACUUGUGGAAAAUCUUUAAAUAAUUCCAAAAAUGUAGACUUCCUUGUGAAUGUUUAUUAAAUUAGAGAUGUUCAAUGUAAUGUAAGAAAAUUUCAGGUUUUUUUGAUUGACCUACAUAGCUAACAAAGGACAUACAAAAUUUUAGGAGUUUCAGUCUCAGUUGUAAAAGAAAAAUAUCUUUUUGUAUAUUAAUAAUGUGUAGCAAUAAUAUUUUAUUACUUGAAUGUUUCACUGUAAUAUAAUAAUUCUGGGAAACUAUCUCCUUCAUAUUGUGAUUAUUAAAAAUCCUUAUAAUCAUAUCUAUCAAAUAAAUGACAUUUAUUUUACUUAAAGAUGGUUAAGCCUUUAGCAAACAGCUCUGAGUUCUAUUGAUUUUGUAAACAUAAUUUACUCAACAAAUUAGAGAUGGCAAGGUCACUCACUCUAUAUGUACUAAUGUUUUGUGUGCUAGUUCGAUAAUUCACGUUAUUAAAUUAUGAAAACAUGCAAAAGGAUAUGAAGAAUCUGACUGAUCAAAAAAACGUCUAUUUUUUCUAUAUGACAUAACAUUGUUGGAAUAUUUGAAUAUGUAACAUACCCAACAAACGGAGCGAACAAUAACGGGAGGCUUUUGAACAAAAGCCUGAGGAUCGAAGGCUCCACCAGCUUUGCCACCACCAUAAGCACCAGCUGACUCCAUUUUACCACUUCUUGAAACACCUUCUGUAUUCACGGUUCAACCUAAGAGCCCAUCUAUGACUCUGACCUCGCAAACUCCGAAUAUCUCAAUAUAAGUUAUUGAUCGCGAACCGCGCAGCCCGCUCAAGUCAAAUUUGUAAGUGACAAACAAUACAGGCUAAAAAUGAGUUUGAUAAGAAUAAUAAUAGACUUGCAACACCA